rnacentral:ncRNA from 1 species
AGAUUGUUGUAAUAAAAAUAAUAAAAUUAAUUAAUAAAUUUAAUUAUAGUUUAAGAAUUAAUUUUAAAAUUUUUUUAUAUAUAAUUUUUAGAGGUUAAAAUUAAAAAUAAUAUUGAUGUAGUAUAUAAAAUUAAUAAUAUUAAAUAAAUUUAAUUUUAGAAAUUUUUUUUUUAUUUAGAUAAAUAAUUGUGCCAGCAAUCGUGGUUAAACAAUUUAAAUAAAUUAAUUUAUUUAAGUUAAAAUAAAAUAUAAUUUUUGUAAUAAAUAAUAAAAUUAUUAGGUGAAAUUAAUUAAUUUUAUUUAAAUUAUAAAAUUUUUAAUUGAGUUUUUAAAAAAUUUAUAAAAACUAGGAUUAGAUACCCUAUUAUAAAUUUUAAAUGUAAAAUUUUAAUAUUAAAUGAUAAAUCAUUAAAUUUAAAUAAUUUGGCGGUAUUUUAAUUUUAUUAGAGGAAUUUGUUAAUUAAUUGAUAUUACCCGAUAAGUUAAACUUAAAUAAAAUUUUUAUAUUGUUGUUUUAAGAGUAUUUUUGAAGAAAUUGUUCAAAUUAUUUAUAAAAUAAUAAUUCAGAUCAAAAUGAAGUGUAUAUUUAAGAAUUAGUGAAUUACAAUAAAUUUGAUUUAUAUGAAUUAAAAAUUUAAAAAUUUUUAUGAAGGUGGAUUUAAAAGUAAAAUAAAAUAAUUAUUUUAUUUGAUUUAAAUUUUAAGAUAUGUACAAAUUGCCCGUCGUUCUCUUUGAAAAAGGAGGUAAGUCGUAACAAAGUAAAAGUACUGGAAAGUGUUUUUAGAAA